rnacentral:ncRNA from 1 species
GGUCAAGUUUUUAAGAGCAUUCGGUGGAUGCCUUGGCACCAGGAGCCGAAGAAGGACGUUGUAGCCUGCGAUAAGCCUCGGGGAGCUGGCAAACGAGCUGUGAUCCGAGGGUGUCCGAAUGGGGAAACCCGGCCAGAGUCAUGUCUGGUUACCCGCGCCUGAAUAUAUAGGGCGUGUGGGGGGAACGCGGGGAAGUGAAACAUCUCAGUACCCGCAGGAAGAGAUAUUCCGUGAGUAGUGGCGAGCGAAAGCGGACGAGGCUAAACCGGGGGUGUGUGACAGCCGGCGGGCGUUGCACCCUCGGGGUCGUGGGACCUGCUGACCAGCUCUGCCGGGCUGGUGGGGAGUGAGAAAGUCGCGGUGUAGUCGAACGGUCUGGGAAGGCCGGGCACAGUGGGUGAGACCCCCGUAGACGAAACGUCGUGGCCUCCUUGCAGGGAUCCCGAGUAGCACGGGGCCCGUGAAAUCCCGUGUGAAUCUGCCAAGACCACUUGGUAAGCCUAAAUACUACCUGGUGACCGAUAGCGGACAAGUACCGUGAGGGAAAGGUGAAAAGUACCCCGGGAGGGGAGUGAAAUAGUACCUGAAACCGGAUGCUUACAAUCCGUCGGAGCCUCCAUGGCUGGGGUGACGGCGUGCCUUUUGAAGAAUGAGCCUGCGAGUUAGUGGCAUGUGGCGAGGUUAACCCGGGUGGGGAAGCCGUAGCGAAAGCGAGUCCGAACAGGGCGCACCAGUCGCGUGCUCUAGACCCGAAGCGGAGUGAUCUACCCAUGGGCAGGUUGAAGCACGUGUAAGAGCGUGUGGAGGACCGAACCCACUUAGGUUGAAAACUGAGGGGAUGACCUGUGGGUAGGGGUGAAAGGCCAAUCAAACUCCGUGAUAGCUGGUUCUCCCCGAAAUGCAUUUAGGUGCAGCGUCAUGUGUUUCUUGCCGGAGGUAGAGCUACUGGAUGGCCGAUGGGCCCUACAAGGUUACUGACGUCAACCAAACUCCGAAUGCCGGUAAGUGAGAGCAUGGCAGUGAGACUGCGGGCGAUAAG